rnacentral:rRNA from 1 species
AUUGAACGCUGGCGGCAGGCCUACCACAUGCAAGUCGGGCGCGCGGCGGACGGGUGAGUAAUGUAUGGUGAUCUGCCUGAUGGCGGGGGAUAACUACUGGAAACGGUAGCUAAUACCGCAUACCAUCAGAUGCACCCAUCUGUGAUUAGCUAGUAGGUGCGGUAACGGCGUACCUAGGCGACGAUCCCUAGCUGGUCUGCGAGGGUGAUCAGCCACUCUGAGACUGAGACACGACCCAGACUCCUACGGGAGGCAGCAGUGGGGAAUAUUGCACAAGAGGCGCAAGCCUGAUUCAGCCAGGCCGCGUGUAGGAAGAAGGCCUUCGGGUAGUAAAGGACGUUCAGUCGUGAGGCGUUGCCGACAGAAGAAGCACCGGCUAGCUCAGUGCCAGCAGCCGCGGUAAUAC